UUGGUUAAGUUAGAAAGGGCGCACGGUGGAUGCCUUGGCACUAGGAGCCGAAGAAGGACGGGACUAACACCGAUAUGCUUUGGGGAGCUGUACGUAAGCGUUGAUCCAGAGAUUUCCGAAUGGGGGAACCCACUAUCUUUAGUCGGAUAGUAUCCUUACGUGAAUACAUAGCGUAAGGAAGGCAGACCCAGGGAACUGAAACAUCUAAGUACCUGGAGGAAGAGAAAGAAAAAUCGAUUUCCUGAGUAGCGGCGAGCGAAACGGAAAGAGCCCAAACCAAGAAGCUUGCUUCUUGGGGUUGUAGGACACUCUAUACGGAGUUACAAAAGAAAGUUAUAAAUGAAGCGGUCUGGAAAGGCCCGCCAAAGACGGUAACAGCCCGGUAGUUGAAAUGGCUUUCCCUCCAGAGUGGAUCCUGAGUACGGCGGAACACGUGAAAUUCCGUCGGAAUCCGGGAGGACCAUCUCCCAAGGCUAAAUACUCCCUAGUGACCGAUAGUGAACCAGUACCGUGAGGGAAAGGUGAAAAGCACCCCGGAAGGGGAGUGAAACAGUUCCUGAAACCGUGUGCCUACAAGUAGUUAGAGCCCGUUAAUGGGUGAUAGCGUGCCUUUUGUAGAAUGAACCGGCGAGUUACGAUUUGUUGCAAGGUUAAGCGGAAAAAGCGGAGCCGUAGCGAAAGCGAGUCUGAAUAGGGCGCAUAAGUAACAGGUCGUAGACCCGAAACCAGGUGAUCUACCCAUGUCCAGGAUGAAGGUAAGGUAAUACUUACUGGAGGUCCGAACCCACGCACGUUGAAAAGUGCGGGGAUGAGGUGUGGGUAGCGGAGAAAUUCCAAUCGAACUUGGAGAUAGCUGGUUCUCUCCGAAAUAGCUUUAGGGCUAGCCUCGAGGUAAAGAGUCAUGGAGGUAGAGCACUGUUUGGACUAGGGGCCCUUCUCGGGUUACCGAAUUCAGAUAAACUCCGAAUGCCAUGUACUUAUACUCGGGAGUCAGACUGCGAGUGAUAAGAUCCGUAGUCGAAAGGGAAACAGCCCAGACCACCAGUUAAGGUCCCCAAAUAUAUGUUAAGUGGAAAAGGAUGUGGGGUUGCUUAGACAACCAGGAUGUUGGCUUAGAAGCAGCCACCAUUGAAAGAGUGCGUAAUAGCUCACUGGUCGAGUGACCCCGCGCCGAAAAUGUACCGGGGCUAAAC
rnacentral:rRNA from 1 species